rnacentral:rRNA from 1 species
CCUACGGGCGGCAGCAGUGAGGAACAUUGGUCAAUGGACGAGAGUCUGAACCAGCCAAGUAGCGUGAAGGAUGACUGCCCUAUGGGUUGUAAACUUCUUUUAUAUGGGAAUAAAACGUUCCACGUGUGGGAUUUUGUAUGUACCAUAUGAAUAAGGAUCGGCUAACUCCGUGCCAGCAGCCGCGGUAAUACGGAGGAUCCGAGCGUUAUCCGGAUUUAUUGGGUUUAAAGGGAGCGUAGGUGGAUUGUUAAGUCAGUUGUGAAAGUUUGCGGCUCAACCGUAAAAUUGCAGUUGAAACUGGCAGUCUUGAGUACAGUAGAGGUGGGCGGAAUUCGUGGUGUAGCGGUGAAAUGCUUAGAUAUCACGAAGAACUCCGAUUGCGAAGGCAGUUCACUGGACUGCAACUGACACUGAGGCUCGAAAGUGUGGGUAUCAAACAGGAUUAGAUACCCUAGUAGUC